rnacentral:lncRNA from 1 species
CUGAGAUUAGGUGAAACUAUUGGGAAAGUUACAUUUUCAACAUUUUCAAGAAAGAGGAUGAUCUAUCUAUGAUGACCUUGGCACCAGGAGAGAACCAUUUCAGGACAAGAAAGGGCCAAGAACAGCCUGGUGUUCUUUGACUAUGGAAAGAAAGUGACUACGGAAUCAGCCACUGGAUUGCAAAUGUGUCGUACCCAUGCAGAAGAGGAUUAAUAAAAUAAUUAAUUUUUUUAUGUAGUUCAGUUCAAUGUAUUUAUUUGAAAAUAAGAUUAAAUAAUCUUUUGAUGCAGACAGUUUCAUUGGUAUUUAUUCAUUCAUCCAGUGUGAGCA